rnacentral:rRNA from 1 species
CAGCAGCCGCGGUAAUACAGAGGGUGCGAGCGUUAAUCGGAUUUACUGGGCGUAAAGCGUGCGUAGGCGGCUUCUUAAGUCGGAUGUGAAAUCCCUGAGCUUAACUUAGGAAUUGCAUUCGAUACUGGGAAGCUAGAGUAUGGGAGAGGAUGGUAGAAUUCCAGGUGUAGCGGUGAAAUGCGUAGAGAUCUGGAGGAAUACCGAUGGCGAAGGCAGCCAUCUGGCCUAAUACUGACGCUGAGGUACGAAAGCAUGGGGAGCAAACAGGAUUAGAUACCCGGGUAGUCCCUGUCUCUUACAC